rnacentral:rRNA from 1 species
UACGUAGGGUGCAAGCGUUGUCCGGAAUUAUUGGGCGUAAAGAGCUCGUAGGCGGUCUGUCGCGUCGGCUGUGAAAACCCGGAGCUCAACUCCGGGCCUGCAGUCGAUACGGGCAGACUGGAGUUCGGCAGGAGAGACUGGAAUUCCUGGUGUAGCGGUGAAAUGCGCAGAUAUCAGGAGGAACUCCGGUGGCGAAGGCGGCACGCUGGACCUUUUCUGACGCUGAGGCGCGAAAGCCAGGGGAGCGAACGGG